UAGAGGAGGCAGGUAGCCUAGUGGUUAGAGUGUAGAGGAGGCAGGGUAGCCUAGUGGUUAGAGUGUAGAGGUGGGAGGGUAGCCUAGUGGUUAGAGUGUAGAGGGGGCAGGGUAGCCUAGUGGUUAGAGUGUAGGGGCGGCAGGGUAGCCUAGUGGUUAGAGCGUUGGACUAGUAACCGGAAGGUUGCAAGUUCAAAUCCCUGAGCUGACAAGGUACAAAUCUGUCGUUCUGCCCCUGAACAAGGUAGUUAACCC
ensembl:lncRNA